rnacentral:rRNA from 1 species
GUCCACGCUGUAAACGAUGAGCACUAGGUGUGGGGGGGUUCAGUCCCUUCCGUGCCGCAGCUAACGCAUUAAGUGCUCCGCCUGGGGAGUACGGCCGCAAGGUUGAAACUCAAAGGAAUUGACGGGGGCCCGCACAAGCGGUGGAGCAUGUGGUUCAAUUCGAUGCAGAGCGAAGAACCUUACCUGGGCUUGACAUGCAGGAAGUAGAAACCGGAAACGGCAACGACCUGUUAAGUCAGGAACCUGCACAGGUGGUGCAUGGCUGUCGU